rnacentral:rRNA from 1 species
UACGAAGGGGGCUAGCGUUGCUCGGAAUUACUGGGCGUCAAGCGCACGUAGGCGGAUUGUUAAGUCGUGGGUGAAAUCCUGGAGCUCAACUCCAGAACUGCCUUCGAUACUGGCGAUCUCGAGUUCGGGAGAGGUGAGUGGAACUGCGAGUGUAGAGGUGAAAUUCGUAGAUAUUCGCAAGAACACCAGUGGCGAAGGCGGCUCACUGGCCCGAUACUGACGCUGAGGUGCGAAAGCGUGGGGAGCAAACAGG